AGGAACAGUGAUGAGUCCUACAGACCUGUAAUGAUUUGCGGAUAUGAUCGCAGAUUGUUAUGAACAUCUAAGGGACUGAGUUCUU